rnacentral:ribozyme from 1 species
GUUUUGUUCGUUUGUUCGUUUGUUCGCUAGGAGAAGUUUCGCAAUGGCAGGCAUGGGAUCCUUUAUGAGAACAGCCUUUCAACGUUGUUCUUCUUCUUCUCUUUCU